rnacentral:rRNA from 1 species
GGAAUUUUGCGCAAUGGGCGAAAGCCUGACGCAGCAACGCCGCGUGAUCGCAGACGGCCUUCGGGUUGUAAAGAUCUGUCAGCAGGGACGAACAAUGACUGUACCUGCAGAGGAAGCACCGGCUAACUCCGUGCCAGCAGCCGCGGUAAUACGGGGGGUGCAAGCGUUGUCCGGAAUCAUUGGGCGUAAAGAGUUCGUAGGCGGUAUGUAAAGUCCGGUGUUAAAGGCGCAGGCUUAACUUGUGUAUGGCACUGGAUACUUGCAGACUAGAAUGUGGUAGGGGUAAAGGGAAUUUCUGGUGUAGCGGUGAAAUGCUUAGAUAUCAGGAAGAACAUCGGUGGCGUAAGCGCUUUACUGGGCCGUAAUUGACACUGAGGAACGAAAGCCGGGGUAGCAAAUG